rnacentral:lncRNA from 1 species
GGGCCCUGCUCCCGGCCUCCCCCGUCCUCUUUCCGUCCAUCCUUGGUCUCCUUCUGUUCCCGCUCUCCCCGCUCCGUUCCUGCCUUGGCACUUCUGUUUUCUCCUCUCUGUAGCGCUCCUCCAUUUUUCAUCUACUUUUUCUGCCUCGGGUGGUCCACUUUUUUUUUUUUUUUUUGAGACGGAGUCUCGCUCUGUCGCCCAGGCUGCAGUGCAGGGGCGCGAUCUCGGCUCACUGCAAGCUCCGCCUCCCGGGUUCACGCCAUUCUCCUGCCUCAGCCUCCCGAGUAGCUGGGACUACAGGCGCUGCCACCUCGCCCGGCUAAUUUUUUUUUUUAUUUUUAGUAGAGACGGGGUUUCACCGUGUUAGCCAGGAUGGUCUCGAUCUCCUGACCUCGUGAUCCGCCCGCCUCGGCCUCCCAGAUGCAGGGAUUACAGGCGUGAGCCACCGCGCCCGGCCGGGUUGUCCGCUUUUAUCUCUUCUCUUCCCUCUUCCUUGAUCCUCCUCCCCUUUUUUUCUCCUUUUCCUUUUCCUUAAGCCUUCGCCUGUCAUUGACGUCGAAACACAGGUAUUUGCCCGGAGCCAGUAUCUUGAUCUGCCUAAAGACAAGACAAUCAGUCGUGAGCAGGCGAAUGUUAUUCCUUCCUCAAUGACGCAGAAAAAGAGGUCUCACACCCAGACUGGAGUACAGUGGCUGCAGUCAUGGCUCACUGUAGCCUUGACCUCCCAGGCUCAAGUGGCCCUCCCACCUCAGCCUCCUGAAUCACUGGGACUACAGACAGAAAAGUUCUCCAAGUCCCCACUCGACCCAGGAAGUCCGGCUGGCUUCACCUCUCACUAGGGGCACCUGCAGGAGACACAGCAGAUGUGGGCAUCUUUGGAGUGAAGCUGCAGACCUUCACGAGUGUUACAGCUCAUAAAUAUGACACGGACGCAGAGUGAGCAGCAGGAAGAUUUACUGCAAACAGCGAAGACCACAUGCAAUGGAAUUUCGCUGUUUCACCUAGGCUGGAGUGCAGUGGCACAGUCUCAGCUCAUUGCAGCCUCUGCCACCUGGUGUGUCCGGAGUUGGUUCCUUCUGGUGGGUUCCUGGUGUGGCUGAGUUCAAGAAUGAAGCGGUGGACCUUCGCGCCAGGUACUGCGAUCUCUCACCUGGUUUCCUGAGCUCGCGUGAAGAUAUUUUCAAGCAUGAAUAGUUGUUCAAAUUGAUGUUUCUGUGGCGGGACAAUCACUGUAAAGUCCUAUUUUGCCGUCUUGCUUCACUCCUAUCCAGCAAAAGAGAGAAUCUUCAAAGCAUCACAAGAGAAGUAAACUUGUCACAUAUAAGGGAUCCUCAAUAAAAUUAACAGCUGAUUUCUCGUCAGAAACCGUGGAGGCCAGAAGGUUGGCAUAUUUAAAAUGAUGAAAGAAAAAAACUGUCAACCAAGAAUUGUAUAUCCAAAAAACAAUUCCUUAAAAAAUUUGUAAUUUAAUUUUUAUUUCUAAUAAAAUGAACACUUCAC